rnacentral:tRNA from 1 species
GGGUGGUUAGCUCAGCCGGGAGAGCGGCAGCCUUACAAGCUGUAGGUCACAGGUUCGAUCCCUGUACCACCCACCA